rnacentral:rRNA from 1 species
GAGUUUGAUCCUGGYUCMKAACGAACGCUGGCGGCGUGCUUAACACAUGCAAGUCRAACGUGAUCCSGAGCUUGCUCCGGUGAAAGUGGCGCACGGGUGAGUAGCGCGUGGAUAAUCUGCCCUGGUAUCUGGGAUAACAUCUCGAAAGGGGUACUAAUACCGGAUAAGCCUACGGUCUCUUCGGAGUCUGCAGGAAAAGGUGGCCUCUAUUUAUAAGCUACCGUAUCAGGAUGAGUCCGCGUACCAUUAGCUGGUUGGUGGGGUAAUGGCCCACCAAAGCUACSAUGGUUAGCUGUUCUGAGAGGAUGAUCAGCCACACUGGAACUGAGACACGGUCCAGCCUCCUACGGGAGGCAGCAGUGGGGAAUUUUGCGCAAUGGGGGAAACCCUGACGCAGCAACGCCSCGUGAGUGAUGAAGGCUUUCGGGUCGUAAAGCUCUGUCAGAGGGGAAGAAAUGAGUCUGGCUAAUAUCCAGUUUUCUUGACGGUACCCUCAAAGGAAGCACCGGCUAACUCCUUGCCAGCAGCCGCGGUAAUAC